rnacentral:ncRNA from 1 species
AUCAAGGAUUAAUUCACUUUAUUUCUCUCAAACCUAUCAACUUGUUCCCUUUGAAGUUUCCAUUAGGAUAGAUGGAGCUUGCAUGUGAGUUCUAUCAGGUAAAGCCAAUGAUUAGAGACCUUGGGGGACGCAACUCCCAUGACCUAUUCUCAAACUUUAAAUAGGUAGAAUGGUGAGACUACUUUGUUGACCCAUGCUACGAAAUCAAAAUCUCCAAGUGGGCCAUUUUUGGUAAGCAUAACUAGUGAUGCGGGAUGAAUCAGAGGUCGAUUUAUGGUGCCAAAUAGUGUGCUAACCUAGAUCCCACAAAGGGUGUUGGUCAAUUAAGAUAACAGGACAGUGGUUAUGGAAGUCAAAAUUCGCUACGGUAUGUGUAACAACUCACUUUAUGAAUCAACUAGCCCCAAAAAUAGAUGGCUCUUAAGCAUGCGACCUGCACCCGACCUUCGGGGCAAGUGCCAGGCCUCGAUGGGUAGGAGGACAUAGCGGUCACUGCAAAACCUUGGGCGCGAGUAGCCAUCCAUGUAGAUCUUGGUGGUAGUAGCAAAUAUUCGAAUGAGAACUUUGAAGUUCGAAGAGGGAAAAGGUUCCAUGUGAAAGAAACUUUCACAUGGUUUAAUCGAUCCUAAGGGUCGGGGGAACCCCAACAAAUAGCGCAUUUCACGUAUACUCAGAAAGGGAAUCGGGUUAACAUUCCUAAGUCGGGACGUGGCUGCUAAUGGAAAUGUUAGGACAUAUGAAAACAUCGGAGGGAUCCUCGAGAAGAGUUAUCUUUUCUGUUUAACAUCCUGCGCACUCUGGAAUCGGCUCAGCCUGAGGUAGGGUCCAAUGGCUGGAAGAGCACCGCACGUCGUGUGGUAUUUGAUGCGCUCCUGACGGACCUUGAAAAUUUGGAGGACCGAAUUCCGUCCAUGCCCGAUCAUACUCAUAACCGCAUCAGGUCUCCAAGAUAAAUAGGCUCUGGUC